rnacentral:siRNA from 1 species
AUUGAUUUUGGUGCUGAUCGG